UCCUGCCACAGGUCCUUUGCACGUGCUGUCCCCAUGACCCAGCAUGCCAGUGCCUGGCAUUCAGCACCUCCCUUCACUCCUUUCAGUCUCUGCUCAUCUGCUCAUCUGUCACCCCCAGACCAACUAACACCUAACACCUGCAGCCACAAUUUUUUUUUGGAGACACAGCCUCACUCUGUUGCCCAGGCUGGAAUGCCUCGGCUCACAGCCACCUCUGCCUCCCGGGUUCAAGCGAUUCUCCCACCUCAGCCUCUUGAGUAGCUUGGACUACAGGCACUCAUCACCAUGCCCAGCUAAUUUUUUUAUUUUUAGCAGACACAGGGUUUCACCAUGUUGGCCAGGCUGUUCUCAAACUCCUGACCUCAGGUGAUCCACCCACCUCGGCCUCCCAAAUAGCUGGGGGACUACAGGCAUGAGCUACUGCUCCUGGAGUUUUAUUUAAGUCUAAUUAAAGUUGAAAGGGCCACCUCUUUGUUGCUCUAUAUUUGUGGGGCGUGGCUACCCUAUUAUCGCAGCUAGAGCAGCUAGUCCCGUAGGAAUAGUAUAUGAGCAGUGUAUUUCAUUUUAAAGUUUCUAUUGGCCACAUUUAACAAGAAAGAGAAAAGAACAGGUAAUAUUAAUUUUAAUAAUGCAUUCUAAUUAAUUCAGUAUAUCCAAAAUAUUGUCAUUUCAAUAUGGAGUCG
ensembl:lncRNA novel transcript, antisense to CERS1